rnacentral:rRNA from 1 species
UACGGAGGGUGCAAACGUUGCUCGGAAUCACUGGGCGUAAAGCGCACGUAGGCGGAUCUUUAAGUCAGGGGUGAAAUCCUGGAGCUCAACUCCAGAACUGCCUUUGAUACUGAGGAUCUUGAGUCCGGGAGAGGUGAGUGGAACUCCGAGUGUAGAGGUGAAAUUCGUAGAUAUUCGGAAGAACACCAGUGGCGAAGGCGGCUCACUGGCCCGGUACUGACGCUGAGGUGCGAAAGCGUGGGGAGCAAACAGG